UACGAAGGGGGCUAGCGUUGCUCGGAAUCACUGGGCGUAAAGCGCACGUAGGCGGAUUGUUAAGUCAGGGGUGAAAUCCUGGAGCUCAACUCCAGAACUGCCUUUGAUACUGGCGAUCUUGAGUCCGGGAGAGGUGAGUGGAACUGCGAGUGUAGAGGUGAAAUUCGUAGAUAUUCGCAAGAACACCAGUGGCGAAGGCGGCUCACUGGCCCGGUACUGACGCUGACGGUGCGAAAGCGUGGGGAGCAACAGGGAUUAAGA
rnacentral:rRNA from 1 species